rnacentral:rRNA from 1 species
CCUUGAAGACGACGAGGUAGAUAGGCAGAAGGUGGAAGUGUGGUGACAUAUGGAGCUGAUCUGUACUAAUAGGUCGAGGGCUUAACCAA